AAGUCGUAACAAGGUCUCCGUUGGUGAACCAGCGGAGGGAUCAUUACCGAGUUUACAACUCCCAAACCCCUGUGAACAUACCACUUGUUGCCUCGGCGGAUCAGCCCGCUCCCGGUAAAACGGGACGGCCCGCCAGAGGACCCCUAAACUCUGUUUCUAUAUGUAACUUCUGAGUAAAACCAUAAAUAAAUCAAAACUUUCAACAACGGAUCUCUUGGUUCUGGCAUCGAUGAAGAACGCAGCAAAAUGCGAUAAGUAAUGUGAAUUGCAGAAUUCAGUGAAUCAUCGAAUCUUUGAACGCACAUUGCGCCCGCCAGUAUUCUGGCGGGCAUGCCUGUUCGAGCGUCAUUUCAACCCUCAAGCACAGCUUGGUGUUGGGACUCGCGUUAAUUCGCGUUCCUCAAAUUGAUUGGCGGUCACGUCGAGCUUCCAUAGCGUAGUAGUAAAACCCUCGUUACUGGUAAUCGUCGCGGCCACGCCGUUAAACCCCAACUUCUGAAUGUGACCUCGGAUCAGGUAGA
rnacentral:rRNA from 1 species